rnacentral:rRNA from 1 species
UUCCUACGGGGGGCAGCAGUGGGGGAUAUUGGACAAUGGGGGAAACCCUGAUCCAGCAACGCCGCGUGAAGGAAGAAGGCUUUCGGGUUGUAAACUUCUUUUCUCAGGGACGAAGAAAGUGACGGUACCUGAGGAAUAAGCCACGGCUAACUACGUGCCAGCAGCCGCGGUAAUACGUAGGUGGCAAGCGUUAUCCGGAUUUAUUGGGUGUAAAGGGCGUGUAGGCGGGAACGCAAGUCAGAUGUGAAAACUCCGGGCUCAACCCUGAGCCUGCAUUUGAAACUGUGUUUCUU